CAGCCGCCACGGGAAUACAGAGGAUGCAAGCGUUAUCCGGAAUGAUUGGGCGUAAAGCGUCUGUAGGUGGCUUUUCAAGUCCGCCGUCAAAUCCCAGGGCUCAACCUUGGACAGGCGGUGGAAACUACCAAGCUGGAGUACGGUAGGGGCAGAGGGAAUUUCCAGUGGAGCGGUGAAAUGCGUUGAGAUGUGGAGGAACACCAGUGGCGAAGGCGACUCUCUGGUCUGUAACUGACGCUGAGGAGCGAAAGCGUGGGGAGCGAACAGGAUUAGAUACCCGGGUAGUCCCUGUCUCUUAUAA
rnacentral:rRNA from 1 species